GUGGAUUAGAUACCCUAGUAGUCCACGCCGUAAACGAUGGACACUAGGCGUCGGGGGGAGCGACCCUCCCGGUGCCGUCGCUAACGCAGUAAGUGUCCCGCCUGGGGAGUACGGCCGCAAGGCUGAAACUCAAAGGAAUUGACGGGGGCCCGCACAAGCGGUGGAGCAUGUGGUUUAAUUCGAAGCAACGCGAAGAACCUUACCUGGGCUUGACAUGCUGGUGAAAGCCGGUGGAAACAUCGGCCCCUCUUCGGAGCGCCAGCACAGGUGCUGCACGGUCGUCGUCAACU
rnacentral:rRNA from 1 species